UGUGCAUUUCCCAGUAUUCUGCUGUGCUGGCACUGGUUGGAUGAAAAGAGCAGAUCAGGCUUAUUCUUCUGCAACAAAGUAUAGGGCCCUGAAUGCCUGCUUGUGACAUCAGAUAUGCUUCUGAAGUUAAAGGAAAGAAGAUGGAGCAGAUGUAAACUCCUCUGAAUGAAAGCUCUUGUUUCCAUCCACUCCUUGCUGCUGCAGAGAACAAAGGAAGAGAAGUGCAUGGAGCACAUGAUGUCACCACAGAGUCGCAUCCAAACAAUCUGUUUUCCUGAAGAUCUCUACAGGAUGAGUGAAAUGGUUCAGGUUCCAGAUUCCCCUCUCCCCCAGGCCCUUCACCAAAUGGCACACUCCAGCAGAAAGCUAUUCAUAUUUUAAAUGAAUGUGCAGUCUGAGAGAAAAGAUAUACUGCACAUAGCUUCCUGUCCAUUAGUGGGAUACAGAUGUGGC